CAGAAUAGACGGCGAAUCAUCCUGGAAGACAGUCUUCUUCUUUGCAGGCAAACUCCAUCUCUCUUUAAAGAUCUGCCCCUUGAGUCGUAUGAUCAUUACCGUGAUUCCAAGAUAUGAGUGCAGAACGUGGUUGCCAAUGUAGUCAGUUUCCUGCGUGCACUGUCCACGGGCGUCUCGUAAAUAUAUCCAUGGAAUAGCAGGAUGAAUAACAUGGCAGAGUAAGGACAAUUCAGGCCUACAACUCGAGGAAAUCCUCUGGCACAUAAUUUGAAGUGAUCUUUGUAGAAAUCAGUUAUUUUGUGGUUAGCAAACACGUUUAAAACUUUUAUCUAGGUAUCACAAUUAUAUUAAUUUAUCAUUAUUCUUUUUUAUUGUACAUUAAAUCAUAUCCCGGGUUAUGCAGAUCUGAAUUUUUGUGAACGUUAUGGAUGGUAUAGGGUUUCGAAAUAAAUAAUGAUGUCCUUUGUAAUGUAAUAUGUAAGUUUUGUGAAGACGAACAUCAUAUUUUUCCGACAUAACUAACAAAACGUUUAAAACUGGAUACUCAUUUUCUCGGCCGAAUUAAAAUCAGGCCUUUGAAGAAAACAAUAAAAUGGACCAAUAUUAAUACUGUGCUAAACAUACUGGUGUGUCAUAUAAGACAACUGUGAUUUAAAUUUGUGUUUUUAAUAAAGAUGACGAAAGAUAAA